CCCCCUCCCGCCCGGCUCUGGAAAGGGGAAAGGGGUUUAAACUUACCUUUUUCCAGCGCUGGGCGGAGAGCUCUCCUCCUCCGAUCCUCCUCUUCUCCUCCUCCUGGGCUGAAUGCGCACGCGCGGCAAGAGCUGCGCGCGCAUUCAGCCGGUCGCAUAGGAAAGCAUUUACAAUGCUUUCCUAUGGACGCUUGCGUGCUCUCACUGUGAAAAUCACAGUGAGAAGCACGCAAGCGCCUCUAGUGGCUGUCAAUGAGACAGCUGCUAGAGGAUUAG